rnacentral:rRNA from 1 species
UACGGAGGGGGCUAGCGUUGUUCGGAAUUACUGGGCGUAAAGCGCACGUAGGCGGCUUGGUAAGUUAGAGGUGAAAGCCUGGAGCUCAACUCCAGAAUUGCCUUUAAGACUGCCGAGCUAGCAGGUGAGAGAGGUGAGUGGAAUUCCGAGUGUAGAGGUGAAAUUCGUAGAUAUUCGGAAGAACACCAGUGGCGAAGGCGGCUCACUGGCUCAUACUGGACGCUGAGGUGCGAAAGCGUGGGGAGCGAUCCGG